rnacentral:rRNA from 1 species
UACGUAGGGAGCAAGCGUUGUCCGGAAUCAUUGGGCGUAAAGCGCGUGUAGGCGGUCCGGUAAGUCCGCUGUGAAAGUCGGGGGCUCAACCCUCGGAUGCCGGUGGAUACUGUCGGGCUUGAGUACGGAAGAGGCGAGUGGAAUUCCUGGUGUAGCGGUGAAAUGCGCAGAUAUCAGGAGGAACACCAAUUGCGAAGGCAGCUCGCUGGGACGUAACUGACGCUGAGACGCGAAAGCGUGGGGAGCAAACAGG